AGUGGUGGGUGGGCCCCUAGCCCCUACCCUCGAAAUCUCAGCAGCCGCCGUCGCAUUUGAACCGGCAAUUGUUUUUUUUUCUCGUUUGUUGUCAUUUUCGUUUUUAAUGGCGGCCUGUUGUCAUUUAAAAUGAAUAAAGAUAUUACUUUAAGAAAAGGGCCGACUGCUCGUGAAGAGAACGAUGGAAUUUAUAGAUUCGGCUGGGAAACUUGUCGAGAAAGGAGCCCUCAUUUUUUGAAAUAGCAAAACUGAUGGAAACUGGUCUUGUAAAUCUGAACAGGGUAGAAGUUCUUUGGUGUCCUGUAACAAAUCACCUGCUGGAAGUCAUCAUCCACCCGCUUAACCACUUGAGAGAAUGGGGAAUAGAUAUCAUUACUACGUUAGUUAGAUCAGCAAUUCAAUAUGAAUAUUCUACCCCUUUAAAAGAAAACCAGGUAACUAUCCGAAACAGGAUUGCAGACGUUGUUAACAUCGCCAUAAAAUGAGCUGUCUAGUACCAGUUUGGCAGACGUGCAGCAAAAGCAAGUUGAUUGUGUGCUCCAUUUGCUGCACAGCUCUGGUGACAUAAUCUCUUUUGGAUGGCCCUUGUUUCUUAAUAUCAUAGGAGCUAUCAAUAAUUCUCAAGGAAAAAAUUCUGUGCGCUCCACGUUCCAGUGUUUACAGUUGGUGGUAACGGACUAUCUCCCUGUUUUACCAUGGAACUGCCUGCCUUUAGCAGUCGAAACGACCGGAAAAUUUGGAUCGCAAACACAAGAUCUCAACGUUUCUCUCACAGCAAUUGGUCUUAUGGUAAGGAAAGCACAGGACGUUUUUAAAAGACUAACACAUUUUUCUUAUGUAGGUUAUUUAACUUGUACUUACAGCUAUACUUUCGAUUAUAUUAAUUGUAGUUUUGGAGAGCCUAGAAGAAUAGUCGGAAGGUACACGUCGGCUUUUUUGCUGUUUUAAAUAAAGAGACACCUUUAUCUAAAAAGAGUUGGUACCUUCUCAAACAGGUAAAUUUUGAUUAUACUAAUUGUAUUUAUCAUGUUAUACCAAUUACUUUAUCACAUUAUUUUAUUUUAUUGAGUAAAUUGUCUUUAAAGUAACUGAAACAAUUUAUAUAGUUUAAUGUGUGUUGUGGACAAUAAAUGAUCCACUUUCAUUUCCAUUAA